rnacentral:tRNA from 1 species
GCGGACAUCGUAGAAUGGCUAUUACCUCAGCCCUCCAGGCUGAUGAUGCGGGUUCGAUUCCCGCUGCCCGCUCCA